UGGUCAUCAUCAUGAAGAGAGCUUAUCCGUAGACAGUAUUUAAUCGUUUCCACUGUCAUGGAGUUGCUCUCUUUCUGGUCUGACCU
rfam:Tetranychus urticae London genomic scaffold, scaffold_5